GGUCGGCACGGUGAAGAGAACAUCAGGAUGAUGGCUCAUCACCAACAGGACACACCAGGACGGUGAUACAGGGAAAGGCCUCAGGAUGAGGUAUCAGGAUAACGCAGGAACGCGUAAGGGACACCUCCAGGAAGGAGAACGAGAGCCGGACGGGACGGAAGGCGGGUCAGGAAGGCCAUAGGAUGACACAUCAGGAUGAUGUAAAGGAACAACCAUCAGGAUGAUGGAUGCAGGACGCCACGGCAAUGGAUAGCAGGUCAGGACAGACCACAGGAAAAGUUGUCAGGGAUGAGCAGGGAGCACCAAAAGUAGCCGGAAUGCUGCGAAACGAAUCGGGAGCACUGUGAAAGCAGUGCUCCUUUUUUUUAUG
rnacentral:other from 1 species